rnacentral:rRNA from 1 species
CCAAUCGAACCCGGAGAUAGCUGGUUCUCCUCGAAAUAGCUUUAGGGCUAGCCUCAUGGAUCAUUGGUGGGGGUAGAGCACUGAAUGUGCGCGGGGGCCACAAAGCCUACCAAACGCUAUCAAACUUCGAAUACCAUACAAUGCAGACCAUGGGAGUCAGUCCGCGAGAGAUAAGUUCCGCGGGCAAAAGGGGAACACCCCAGAUCAACCGCUAAGGUCCCCAAGUUCACGUUAAGUGGAGAAGGAUGUGGAAUUGCACAGACAACCAGGAUGUUGGCUCAGAAGCAGCCACACAUUUAAAGAGUGCGUAAUAGCUCACUGGUCGAGUGAUUGUGCGCCGAAGAUGUCCGGGGCUAAACGUGACACCGAAGCGAUGGGUGCGUCUGAAGAAGAUGCGCGGUAGAGGAGCAAUGUGCAGAGGCAGAAGCCGUAUCGAGAGGCACGGUGGACACUGCACAAGAGAGAAUGCCGGUAUGAGUAGCGAGAGGCAUGCGAGAAACAUGCCCGUCGAAAGCCCAAGGUUUCCUGGGGAAGGUUCAUCCGCCCAGGGUAAGUCGGGGCCUAAGCCGAGGACGGAAGUCGUAGGCGAUGGACAGCAGGUGUAGAUUCCUGCACUACCGAUGGAAUGAAGCAGUGACACAGAAGGAUAACUCGAGCAGGGUGAUGGUCAACCCUGUGCAAGCAUCAAGGUUGGGUUGUAGUGAAGUACGCAAUCCUACAAGCUGAGGUGUGAUGCGGACCGAAAUUUCAGUAGGGAAGCGAGUGAGUUCACGCUGGCGAGAAAAGCUGCUAGUACAUCCAAAGGUACCCGUACCGGAAACCGACGCAGGUGGGCGAGGAGAGAAUCCUGAGACGAACGGGAGAACCCUUGUUAAGGAACUCGGCAAAAUGACCCCGUAACUUCGGGAUAAGGGGUGCCUGCGAGAGCAGGCCGCAGAGAAUAGUCACAAGCGACUGUUUAGCAAAAACACAGGUAUCUGCGAAAGCGAGAGCUGACGUAUAGGUGCUGACACCUGCCCGGUGCUGGAAGGUUAAGGGAACAUGUUAGAGCAAUCGAAGCAUCGAACCGAAGCCCCAGUAAACGGCGGCCGUAACUAUAACGGUCCUAAGGUAGCGAAAUUCCUUGUCGGGUAAGUUCCGACCCGCACGAAUGGUGUAACGACUUGUGAGCUGUCUCAACAGGGGGCCCGGUGAAAUUGAAGUAUGGGUGAAGAUGCCCAUUACCCGCGACUGGACGGAAAGACCCCGUAGAGCUUUACUGCAGCCUGAUAUUGAGUUUCGGUAACUGAUGCACAGGAUAGGUGGGAGUCUGAGAGACAUGGGUUUCGGCUCAUGAGGAGACGCUGUUGGGAUACCACUCUUCGGUUACUGAAAUUCUAACAUAGCUCUGUGAAACCAGAGGAUGGACAGUGUCAGGUGGACAGUUUGACUGGGGCGGUCGCCUCCGAAAGAGUAACGGAGGCGCCCAAAGGUACCCUCAGAAUGGAUGGAAACCAUUCGAAGAGCGCAAAGGCAGAAGGGUGCCUGACUGCGAGAUUGACAAAUCGAGCAGAGACGAAAGUCGGGCUUAGUGAUCCGGCGGUAUUGAGUGGAAAAGCCGUCGCUUAACGGAUAAAAGCUACCUCGGGGAUAACAGGCUGAUCUCCCCCAAGAGUCCACAUCGACGGGGAGGUUUGGCACCUCGAUGUCGGCUCAUCGCAUCCUGGGGCUGUAUUCGGUCCCAAGGGUUUGGCUGUUCGCCAAUUAAAGCGGCACGCGAGCUGGGUUCAGAACGUCGUGAGACAGUUCGGUCCCUAUCCAUCGUGGGCGUAGGAGUCAUGAGAGGAGCUGUUCCUAGUACGAGAGGACCGGAAUGGACGCACCACUGGUGCAACUGUUGUCGUGCCAACGGCAUAGCAGGGAAGCGAAGUGCGGAAGGGAUAAACGCUGAAGGCAUCUAAGCGUGAAGCCCACCUCAAGAAUAAGACUCCACAAUAGACCCCUGGAGGACUACCAGGUAGAUAGGUCAUCGGUGGAAGCGCUGUAAGGCGUGUAGCUUGAUGAUACUAAUCGGUCGAAAGCUUCAUUUA